rnacentral:misc_RNA from 1 species
GAUGAAGAACGCAGCGAAAUGCGAUAAGUAAUGUGAAUUGCAGAAUUCAGUGAAUCAUCGAAUCUUUGAACGCACAUAGCGCCCGCCAGUAUUCUGGCGGGCAUGCCUGUUCGAGCGUCAUUACAACCCUCAGGCCCCCGGGCCUGGCGUUGGGGAUCGGCGGAAGCCCCCUGUGGGCACACGCCGUCCCUCAAAUACAGUGGCGGUCCCGCCGCAGCUUCCAUUGCGUAGUAGCUAACACCUCGCAACUGGAGAGCGGCGCGGCCAUGCCGUAAAACACCCAACUUCUGAAUGUUGACCUCGAAUCAGGUAGGAAUACCCGCUGAACUUAAGCAUAUCAAUAAGCGGAGGA